GAUGAAGAACGCAGCGAAAUGCGAUAAGUAAUGUGAAUUGCAGAAUUCAGUGAAUCAUCGAAUCUUUGAACGCACAUUGCGCCCCUUGGUAUUCCGAGGGGCAUGCCUGUUCGAGCGUCAUUAUAACCCCUCAAGCUCAGCUUGGUGUUGGGGCCUGCUGCACUGGCAGCCCUUAAAAUCAGUGGCGGCGCCAACUGGCUCUAAGCGUAGUAAUUCUUCUCGCUAUGGAGUCCUGGUGGAUGCUUGCCAUCAACCCCCAAUUUUUCUAUGGUUGACCUCGGAUCAGGUAGGGAUACCCGCUGAACUUAAGCAUAUCAAUAAGCGGAGGA
rnacentral:misc_RNA from 1 species